AAACACUUCUGUGCAGCUGGGAAUGCAGGCUUCUGCUUCACCUUGAAGGAAGCAUUAAUGAUUCCUUUCCAGAAGACAUGAGAAGAGAGAAGUGAGCCUCUGGUAUCAUGCAGAUUCCUUGCAUUGCCCAUGGGCUAGAAGAGAGAAGAGUUCCUUCAUGAGAUUUGAUCCCCUUUUUCCUGAAAAGUUCCACACACAGGUGAGUCCCCAGCAUGUUUAGACAUCAUUUCAGACAUCUUUGUUGACAGAAAUGAAUCACACCCCCUGAUGAUGUGGAAGAGCUAUAGAUGGGUUUGCUAUGAAUUUUCUAUUUCAUUUCUCAGGGCCUGAGUCAAGCCAGCCAUUGUGCUGUCAGCGCAUGAGCUGCUGGUCAAAUGUGAGGAAGUGGUCUUGCUUUAUGAAAGCACCACCCUGAUUCAGUGAGCCAGAGGCAGCCUGCAGUCCCUCAGUUUUCCUGUAAAGGCAGAUUGCUGUGGAUGGCCUCUGGCCUCGUCAUGCAGCCCUGCUCAGAGUAGGGGAUUGAGGGUCCAGGCAGAUCCCUAGUUCCUUUUGACCUUUAUUGCCAUUGGGCUGCCCCAGGGUCCUUGGACUCUACCUGGUCUUCUGGCCUAGGUCAGGGGAUGUGAGGUUUGGAAUCCCUCUCUGUGGCAGGAUCCCAGGCCCCCCAGCCAUUUGAGGGCAGGCACAGCCUUCCCUAAUUGUGUUAGAGGGGGAGACUUCUCCCACCCAUCCUCAUCCAUGCUCAUCCCACAUUUUGUAGCUUGACACCUGAGGACCUUUAUUCAUUGACUUAGUGGUUAGUGAUGAUGGUUGCUAAGACUAAGUAUCUCUUUCAAAGUCACAUCACUUGCAUGGUUGGGCUAGAGCAUGGAUCUUCGUAAUUGAUUUCAUGGGACUCUCUCAUGGAAACUGUGACUGCCUCCUAAACACACACUCUACAUUUGGAGUGUCAAAAUUCUUGGCACUGCCUCCUUGGCAAGUGUAUCUUGUCUUCUACUUGGGAAUUUCACAAAUAUUUUCGUUUGGUUUGUGGAGGUCAUGCAGAAGGGAUUUCAUUUGAAAUAGCCCAAACAAGAAAUACCAGUUGUCUUUUUCACACAUGGAUGUGUGUAAUGAACAUCCCUUUCUGUGUGUUUGCAUGAGUUGCUCCUUUGAAUUUGUUGAAGAAUGGUUAGCUGGGGAGCAAGGUAACGAGAGAUGGAUAUCAAUGGUUGUCAAGUAUUCUGAAGUGAAGAAUGUAUUGAGGAUGUGAAGGCUUUUCUAGCCAGUUCCUAUGGCUCAGUCAGGGAUCAGUCAGAGGAUUCUGUCUGUUAGACUCUUUGGAACAGAUGUCAAAGUGGCCUGGUCUUACCCUGUCCAGGACUGAAUGCUGAGCUUGAGUGGGAGCUUCUUGUCAUUUCAAGCAUUUCCAUGAGUCUGUCCUCUGUUCUCUUGUAUCCAAGUGGUUUCUAACAGGAAAGCAGAACAAAAAUUGAAAGUAUGGUGAUUGAUUAUUUAUACCAAUGUUAUUUCAAUCAACUUUGUAUAAUACGAAAUUAACUUUCUGCUAGUAAGAUUUCAUAUGUGAGGAAAUAAUGAAAAUAUUGGGGUUAGGGGAUGAGAAUAUGCAAAUCAAACAUUUUUGAGCACCAAGACCCGUUUUUUGUUUUUGUUUUUUUAACUUAAAUAAUGAAGUGCCAGAAGACCACACCUGCCAUUCAACCUCAACAACCUCCAGGUCCAGCCUCCAGGUGGCCCGUUUCACCAGGGUGUGUGGGACCACACUGUCCUGGGAUGAGAGAGCAGUACCCACGAAUGUUGGUACAGAGUAGAUAUUGCUAGAGACAGUGGGGAGGUAGUGGCACAUGAGGAAGGGAAGAGCUCUCAGGAUGGGAAGAGGGGGCCGCUUCGAGACUCAUUGGGCAUGGCACGAGGCUGCUGGGUGUGGUGUUGGCCUGGGCCCACUGAGUGGGGCAGAUCCAUGCUCUGUGUCCCUCUACCCUCCUCUGUAGCCUGUGCUGGCAGCAGAUCAGGGAAUUGGGGUCAGAAGUGCUCCCAGUAACACAGGCACCAGCCCCCAGUGUGUGCCUAGCCCUUUCCCUACCUGGCCUGACUUAGUGCUUGUCUUGCCUCAGGGCUGAGACCCUACAGUCUCUGAUGAGUGUGUCUGGGGUCCAGAUCCAACCUGCAUGGCCAACAUGCUCAGACCUUCAGCUGGGUCCUAGGCUGCUGCAACCAAACCCUGUCAAUUGGGUGGCCCACAACAGAGGAAGUGUCUUCCGUUGAGCUCCAGAGGCUCAACACAGUAGGUGUUGGGCUGUCCCAGUGCCAUAACCCCUCCCAGGUUUCAAGGGGACUGUCCCCCCAACUCUGUCAGCCCUUGCCCACUCUCCUACUGCUGUCCAUGAUCUGUGGUUCCCAUAUGGGCAUCCCGACCUGGCUCCAACCUCACAUAGGCUGUAUCCCCAAGUCUCCCUGGUCUCUGGGUCCAGACUCCCCUCUUCCUACAAGAAUAUAAGAUAUUAGAUUUGGGCCCAGUUGAUGCUGUGUUCCAUCAUGUGAGCUCUUAGCUUCAUCACUGUACAAAGACUCUUUUUCCACGUAAGUUCACAGGACUUUUGGGUGGCUAAGAAUUUUCAGGGGACACUUUUCUAAUGAGUACACUUUCCUUUCUUCAGAUCUCUCCCCACUGAGCCUUCUUCUCAUCCUUGUCCUAGUUCCUUUAUGGCAAGUUCCCUCCUUAUGGCUGAGAGGACCUAGUGACCCCUGGAUUCACACAUUGUCUUUAAUCACCAACACACUGCAGAAUUCUCCAUGGGACUGCGGUGUUUUGCAUUGGAACCCACCCCCUGACCUCUAAAAGUGGUCUAGACAAUUGGGUUGACUCCCUCCCUCCUGAACCUCUUUGAUGCCCUUUAAAGUAAGUUAUUCUUUUGGAUUCCUUCCACAAGUAGGCAAGUCCUUGGAUCCCCUGCUAGAAAGUCUUCCAGCCUGAAGGUCAGAUGUGUCCAGAUGUUGAGUUGAAGGAUAUCAUCCUAGAAGCCCUCAUCCUGGCUGCAGCGUUUCCUCCCCUCAAUGCAAAGCAAGAAAGUGCAGUUGGCUCUGUACCCAUUCUUCUGCAUCCAUGGUCCUCACCAGCUGGAAAUCCAAACUAUCAGGAAAGGAGUUGUGUCUCUCUGGACAGAUACUUCUCUCCUCAUUGUUUCCUGGAUCUUACAGUGUUACAGAGAAUGACACUGCCCUUUCAUUGUAUUAGGUGUCAGAAGUCAUCUAGAGAUAAUGGAAGUGCUACAGGAAGAAGAUAUACAGCGUUUAGAUGCAAAUACUCUGGCAUUUUUGUAAGAGACGAACCUGUGUGGACUGGUGUUUUGGGCAGACUUUGAACAAAUCUCCCUUGAAUUUCUUGUAACGUUUCUGGUUUCUGGACUUGGGAGUGUUCAGUGUGAGUCAGCCUCAUGGGGAUGUGAUAGGGGGGCAGUCGGAGCUGUUGUGCAGAACCUCAGUGAUGGCUUGUAAGGCCACAUGCAACACUGCAAGCAGGAGCCGAGAAGGGAGCCCUCUCCCCAUGUGUUCAGCUUAACUCUUGUCUUAUCCAAAAUCAUGACUUGUGAAAUGUUGCAGAAAUGGACUCAUGCCAAGAAGUUGGGAUGUUCUGGGGAGCAUGGGCUGUCAUUCUAUUUUGUCUCUGCAUUAUGAUGUGUUAGCGGGUGGGAACUUGAAGAUGUGCUUAGGCCAUGGAUUCUCCUUCCCUGGGAAAGGGCUUCUCAAAGCAGCCCUUGUCCCUGUUUCACCUGCUUCCCCAGGAGGACACAACAAGAACGUUCUUACAAGUUGGCCCCCAGUCUUGGUCUUCCAGCCUCCCAAGUUUGAGAAAUAAAAUCUGUG
rnacentral:lncRNA from 1 species